rnacentral:rRNA from 1 species
UACGGAAGGCAGCAGUGGGGAAUAUUGCACAAUGGGCGAAAGCCUGAUGCAGCUAUGCCGCGUGUAUGAAGAAGGCCUUAGGGUUGUAAAGUACUUUCAUCGGGGAGGAAAAAACAAAACUAAUAAUUUUAUUUCUUGACGUUACCCGAAAAAGAAGCACCGGCUAACUCCGUGCCAGCAGCCGCGGUAAUACGGAGGGUGCUAGCGUUAAUCAGAAUUACUGGGCGUAAAGAGCACGUAGGUGGUUUUUUAAGUCAGAUGUGAAAUCCCUGGGCUUAACCUAGGAACUGCAUUUUGAAACUGAAAUACUAGAGUAUCGUAGAGGGAGGUAGAAUUCUAGGUGUAGCGGUGAAAUGCGUAGAUAUCUGGAGGAAUACCUAUGGCGAAAGCGGCCUCCUAAACGAAUACUGACACUGAGGUGCGAAAGCGUGGGGAGCAAACAGGGAUUAGAUACCCGU